AAGAGAGAGACCAGCUACAGACCAGUUACAACAACCUGACUGCUGAGAGAGACAGGCUUCAGAAUUUGCUUUGUGAGAAACCCUGUUGUUUUGAUGGACGGAAGAAGUUUGACUGCAGUUGUUACUUCCUCUCUACUGAGGAGAAAACCUGGGAGGAGAGUAGACAGGACUGUCUGAAGAGAGGAGCAGACCUGGUGAUAAUAAACAGCAGAGAGGAACAGGAGUUUCUCUUCAAUCUCAAGAAGAGAGUCUGGAUUGGUCUGACUGACAGAGAGAGAGAGGGGACCUGGAAAUGGGUGGAUGGAACAACACUAACCAC